rnacentral:rRNA from 1 species
AUUGAACGCUGGCGGCAUGCCUUACACAUGCAAGUCGAACGGCAGCACGGGUGCUUGCACCUGGUGGCGAGUGGCGAACGGGUGAGUAAUACAUCGGAACGUACCUUAUCGUGGGGGAUAACAAAUUGAAAAAUUUGCUAAUACCGCAUAAUACUCUGAGGAGGAAAGCGGGGGAUUUGUAAGGACCUCGUGCGAUUAGAGCGGCCGAUGGCUGAUUAGCUAGUUGGUGAGGUAAAGGCCCACCAAGGCAACGAUCAGUAGCAGGUCUGAGAGGAUGAUCUGCCACACUGGAACUGAGAAACGGUCCAGACUCCUACGGGAGGCAGCAGUGGGGAAUUUUGGACAAUGGACGAAAGUCUGAUCCAGCAAUGCCGCGUGAGUGAAGAAGGCCUUCGGGUUGUAAAGCUCUUUUGUCAGUGAAGAAAACUUUAAUAAUAACACUAUUAAAGCAUGACGGUAACUGAAGAAUAAGGACCGGCUAACUACGUGCCAGCCGCCGCCGUAA